rnacentral:lncRNA from 1 species
UGUGGCGACGCUCCGCAGCCUCGUGGACGCUCCUGAAGUUGCUCCCGGUGAAGUCUCACCUGCGCUUAGGGGUCCCAGGUGGCUCUGCUGCCGCGUCUAUAGCGCGGAGAGCUGCACCCGGUGCGGGAGCCGUAAGGCCGACGCCGGCGGACCGAGAAGCCGGGAAAUGAGUUUAGACCUCCACCCACGACUUCCCUACCUGCGCUCAUUUCCUACUUGGAAAAAUCCUGUGGCCUCCCAAGCCCUGGGCUCUGCUGGGAAGUGGGAAACUCGCCACCCUAACCUGGACCCAGGAACCAAAGCGUGGGGACGUCACCCUCUAACUACGAGGUAGGAGCUGCGCUCCUUACAUUCUUAGAUGAAUGUUUUCCAUUGGAAGGAACUUCAUUAGAUCAUUUCUAAUGGGUUCUUUUGUACUGAUAGAAGAAAGAAAAAGAUUAUGUAAAUGUGAGAUGUCCCUGGGAAAUAUUAAUAUGCAGGAAAGAUUGGGUUGCUAGACACUUUUGCAUUACAGAGCUCUGAAAACACUGGUCGCUUCUGUGAACAAAGAGUUCUGUCUCUAGCCUAGCCUUCCUUCAGCUACCAAGCUUGCUGGAAAAUGACUUUCAAACCACAAGGUAGAGGAGUCGGGGUCCAUCAGGUCUUUCCUCCUCUAACAAGUGACAACACAGAAGCCACAGCAAAGGAGGGGUGGUGGGCACAUAAACAUUUAUGAUGAAAACCAACAUGGG